AUACGGAGGAUGCGAGCGUUAUCCGGAUUUAUUGGGUUUAAAGGGUGCGUAGGUGGUAGAUUAAGUCAGCGGUGAAAGUUUGUCGCUCAACGAUAAAAUUGCCGUUGAUACUGGUUUACUUGAGUAUAGUUGAAGUAGGCGGAAUGCGUGGUGUAGCGGUGAAAUGCAUAGAUAUCACGCAGAACUCCGAUUGCGAAGGCAGCUUACUAAGUUAUAACUGACACUGAAGCACGAAAGCGUGGGUAUCAAACAGGAUUAGAUACCCUGGUAGUCCGCACAGUAAACUAUGAAUACUCGCUGUUUGCGAUACACUGUAAGCGGCCAAGCGAAAGCGUUAAGUAUUCCACCUGGGGAGUACGCCGGCAACGGUGAAACUCAAAUGAAUUGGCGGGG
rnacentral:rRNA from 1 species